GAGAGAGCGAGAACACUCACAUACACACAGACAUAUAUACACACACACUUUUCCCUCCCCCACGGUAAGCAGUGAACUCCAGCAAUCUUUCUACUGUAUGUGGCUCACCUUUUCUCUUAGCUCAGCAGUAGCAGUCGCCUCCUGGUCUUCUCUCCUGAGAGCCCUCACACUGCAGAAUACAGCGAUGCCAAAACCUGCAGCAAGGAGAAAAAAUCCACCGUUAAGAAUGCAAAAGAACCAUUCAGUCUCGGUCUGUCUGCUACCGUGACCUUCUGGCAGCAGGGGAUGAUGAACUUGGCCUUCUUCUCUCUUUUCAUCUCUGUGUCAAAGCA